rnacentral:rRNA from 1 species
UGGGGAAUUUUGGACAAUGGGCGAAAGCCUGAUCCAGCCAUGCCGCGUGAGUGAAGAAGGCCUUCGGGUUGUAAAGCUCUUUUAGCCGGGAAGAAAGAGCUGCUAUGAAUAAUUGUGAUUUAUGACGGUACCGACAGAAAAAGGACCGGCUAACUACGUGCCAGCAGCCGCGGUAAUACGUAGGGUGCGAGCGUUAAUCGGAAUUACUGGGCGUAAAGGGUGCGCAGGCGGUCUUGCAAGUCAGAUGUGAAAGCCCCGGGCUUAACCUGGGAAUUGCGUUUGGAACUACAAGGCUAGAGUGCGGCAGAGGGGAGUGGAAUUCCAUGUGUAGCAGUGAAAUGCGUAGAGAUGUGGAAGAACACCGAUGGCGAAGGCAGCUCCCUGGGUUGACACUGACGCUCAUGCACGAAAGCGUGGGGAGCAAACA